GAUGAAGAACGCAGCGAAAUGCGAUAAGUAAUGUGAAUUGCAGAAUUCAGUGAAUCAUCGAAUCUUUGAACGCACAUUGCGCCCCCUGGUAUUCCGGGGGGCAUGCCUGUCCGAGCGUCAUUACAACCCUCAAGCUCAGCUUGGUAUUGGGCCCCGCCGACCCGGCGGGCCCUAAAGUCAGUGGCGGUGCCGUCCGGCUCCGAGCGUAGUAAUUCUUCUCGCUCUGGAGGUCCGGUCGUGUGCUCGCCAGCAACCCCCAAUUUUUUUCAGGUUGACCUCGGAUCAGGUAGGGAUACCCGCUGAACUUAAGCAUAUCAAUAAGCGGAG
rnacentral:misc_RNA from 1 species